rnacentral:lncRNA from 1 species
AGCUACUUUCAGUAUUACAAAAGAUUAUUAAAACAUUGAUUUAAAAUGUACUUUAAAGUAAAACGAUAAAAUUUUACAUUAUUACAAAGUGUACUUUUAUAAGUAUAUAGUCAAGUUUUCUUGUUUUUUCUUUUUUUUUUUUUUAACAAGUGUACUUUAUAAGUAUAUAUCAAGUUUCUUGUUUCUUUUUUUUUUUUUUUUUUUGCGAAUACAUUACAAGUGUACAUUCAGUACAAUUAAGUCCACUCUUUCACAAGGGCUGAUGAUUUUCACUUCUAUCAGCCCAGAAAAGCAGUAAUAAUGUAUAGAGUCUGUCUGGGCCUGAUUAAAGGGACAGUCCACCUGAAGUAACAAACCAAUUAGCAGAUCUGAGCUUUAACCCAGUAACAUCACACCACUAUCAUCUGCUUUACUGAACAGAGACCAUUUUUAAGAUAACUCCAUCUUUCCCAUUGACAACAGCUGUCAAAAUCCAGGGAGGUCACAUUCUCAGCAUCCUUACACAUUUAUCCAGGACAAAAGCUCGAAGCGGAAGCAUCUGAUCCAUAGCAACACCUCUGGCAGAAGAACGUUAUUAGGGCACAGAACUGAGAAAGUCUCAUUAGGACUGCUCUAUCUGACCUCACUGUGAGAUGAGAGCUCCCACUGCAUCACACACAGUGUUCAGAAACCCGAUCGGACUGUAACAAUGCAUGUUUCAUGUAUUAUUAAUCAAUAUGAACAUUGGCUGUGAUUUUCAUGAGAGCCUUUUUCUGGGAUGUCAGAAUCAUUCCCGUUCUAAUGCCUGACUCAUUCACCCCUGCUGUGCAUGUGUGUGUGUUUUAAGGUCAGCGAAUCUGUGUGGGCGUCACACAUACUGAGACCCAUCAGUGUAUAUGCUGUGCUCCUGUCUGCAGGAUGUCGCACUUUAAACCCAAGAAAACAGCAAACGGUCAGGUUGACUUUGAUAAAAGGGCAGAAUUCACCCAGUGGAGGGUUUCUGUGCUGAGGGGAAAAGGGCAGCAGUCAGCAGUUACUGUCAAUAUCAGCGGUCAGUCGUUAAAGGUCAGCCUUACCCGUUCCAUCCUAUCUCUUCUUCUAAGCCAGAUCAUAGCAGAGUAGUCCUGCUGCUGGACGGUGCUGAAGAUGUUGUUACCCGGCCGGGUGAGAGGCGUGGAGAAGAACCCCGGUUCGGGUGGAGGCUUCAUCCCUGGACCCUCUGAAACAAACCUCCUAUCUUGCAUUUCCACUUCGUUAAGUAUCCAAAUACUCCUACUUUAUCUCCAUAAGAUGUUCACCCAAAGUAGUUCAGUCCACGAGGAAAAGACUCUAAGCCAGUGCUAGCAGCAAACGCUGUUGGAGUCUGUGCUAGACUGAGCCGUGUCUUGCAGAGAGCCUGAUUUCUUUGGAUUUCAUCCACACACAGGCAGAAAGGGGUCUCCCUGUCCUGUUGGGAGGGGCUGGCAAAGUCUGAGUGGGCAUAGUGACUAAGAAAGUGUGUGGGAGUGGAUGCAUAGACCCCACAUCCUGCACCUGGUACCCUCCCCUCCGAUCAGUGUGUACAUGGUGCUCUGAUGCAUGACUGUGAGUCCAACACACUCACACACACGAAAAGGCAUCAGUGCAUAUUAACUCAGAAGUGCUGCGGGCAAACUCAAUAAAGUAUUCAUUUGACAUCACCUAGAAGUUCACAGCCAUCUGCUUGUGUGCUGCUCACUCAUUUAAAAAAACAAAUACCCAUCUGUAUUAUUGAUUAAUGAGAGGAAAUUAUUUUGUAAUAAAACUCUAUGGUGGAGGAAGUAGUUGUGAUUGCUUUUGAUUGCUUCAUAUUUCCUCGUUUGCCAUGCGCCACAUUUCUCCCCGGUGAUCAAUGAAGUACUUCAAUCUAUUAUGAUCCUUGAGAUAAGCAGUAUGCCAACACAAUACUGAUGAAAUUCAUAAUGUAAGCAGCAGCCCUGUUGUAAAGCAGAGUCUGUCAAUAGAAGCAGAUGAAACAAACUAUACUGAAAAAUAAAAAUGGGUGUAUGGACAUUUUUCACUCAGAAACUGCUAGAAAAUUUCACACACGAUUACAAAGAAAUGAUAACAUUGAAUUAUAUGGGAAAUAUUGAAAUUUGUUGUAAAUGUACUCCGAUAACUAUUUAGCAAUAACUCGAAAAAUCAUUACAAAUAUGAAAGAAAAUACCAAGACGGUUUCAUUCACAUGAAUGAAAUGAGUGACGUUCAACAAGAGAAAUGUAAGGCGGCAACAGUCGCCAUUUCAUGUUGACUUGAUAGAUAAGAUCAGUGCUUAUUCUGGAGUAUAUUUUCUGUGAUCUCUAUUUUAUACUUUGCUUUUUAACUAAUUUCUUCAGACUGUGGUCUUUCCCACAUGCUCUCUGUGAAUACUAA